rnacentral:lncRNA from 1 species
AUGCUUUUCAAGUUGUUCUGCCCCGAUUUGGUUUAUUUGUGCUGUACGCCAUCCAUAAAGUCAUCUCUGGAACUUAUAAGUACUUUCGCAAAGACAACAGUGGGAAGGCAGUUGCAUAUCGUAUUAUUUUUGGCUGGAUCCUCCAGGAACAAUGGCCAUUGUUUGGCAGCGAACAACAAGGAGGCUGCUUUAGCCAUGGAACGGUUUGGAGCCUGGGGGCUGUUCCUCAAAGGGUUGGGAGCCAUUCGAAGGGUUUAAGCAGCGGUCCCUCUGUCUGACUGGGAGCAUGUCAUUUGCCCUCCCGAUUGAGCCCGUGUUCUGUGGAGCAGCAUGAAAGGAUUCCUGUACAGCUGCACCGGGUGAGUGGGCGGGCAUCUCAUUCAGUAAUAACAUCUAAUUUAUACGGCCAUGAAAAAUCUACAGCUAUAAAUAAACAGUUCUGACUGACUUUG